rnacentral:rRNA from 1 species
CACGUAGGGUGCGAGCGUUGUCCGGAAUUAUUGGGCGUAAAGAGCUCGUAGGCGGUGUGUCACGUCGGCCGUGAAAACCUGCAGCUUAACUGUGGGCGUGCGGUCGAUACGGGCAUCACUGGAGUUCGGCAGGGGAGACUGGAAUUCCUGGUGUAGCGGUGAAAUGCGCAGAUAUCAGGAGGAACACCGGUGGCGAAGGCGGGUCUCUGGGUCGAUACUGACGCUGAGGAGCGAAAGCGUGGGGAGCGAACAGG